rnacentral:lncRNA from 1 species
CAAUUUCCAUUUCUUUGAUCCCCGUUUUUUUCUUUUCUUUUUCUUUUUACAUCCACACAACCAUGAGCCUUUUCUUUGUUUUUUUUUCUUUCUUUUCUUUUUCUUUGCUCUAUGGUUUCAAGGGUGAUUUCUUUUUCUUGUUUCUUUUCAUAUUUUCACCUUUUCAUAAAAACUCACUUCUCCAAGUUUCUAAUCAACUCUUUUUACUUUACUCUCCCCAACUUUAGAUUCCAAAACCAAAUUUAUUCAAUAAUGCUUCCUACUUAGACAUAAGCAAAAGGAAAAAUUUGCAAACAACUCGGUUUGAGGGUUCAAUUGACACGAAAGAAAU